UCGAUUUUGUUCCAUUUGUGCGCCAAAAGUGAAAAAGCUCACCACAACAAAAAAUUACGAUUAUCGGAAGCGACCGAUCAAAUAGGCUACUGCGCACGGACUAAAUGCUCUCAACAAGCUGAAGCCUACGGUAAGCCGGCAUUUGCACUAAUACAAUGACAACUAAGAGCACGAAAUCGUUUGCGCUCACACACCAUGCCACUAUGCUCACUGAAAUCUUGUCCGUCUUCGUUAACGGGAUCAAUGCUGUUGCAACCAAUAGCGUAAACGUAUGCUCGCUCAUCAGCUUAGCUGCAGCCUGCACUCCAUGCGUAUAUGUGUGUAUGUAAUUGGAUCAACGCUUGUGAGAUGUGCCAAGAGAGGAUAAAUAUCCACAGUGCUCAUUCUCUGGAUAAAUGCUCUCUGCCAGUACGCUGAUUCGUGCAAUUCCACCAAGUACACAUUAUAUAUGAACUUGUGACGUAAUUGUAUGCUCAAACUGAGUACUUUAUAUGGAAACUUGUGACACAGUUGUUCAUUCUUUAUGCAAGUAAAACGAAUUGCAUUUUGA